CUCCCGUUCAUGGUCUCACACCCCAGGCCUGCCCCGCUCCUUGCCUCUUGACCACGGCGCCCGGGUUCAAGGAAGUUCCAUUGAAAACAAAAUAUUGAAGCUCCUGGCCCUUGGGGCAGGGAACAGGCCACACGGCUCAAAGUUCCGAAGGCAAAGACAGAGCCCCUGGCGUUUCCUAUUCAGCUCCCGAUUUCUAAGCCAACCUGGCGAUCUUGGCAGGGGAACCUCCUGAGACGCGAAUUCUCAGGACAGGGCUUUUUUGUUGUUGUUGUUUUUGUUUGCAGAGGUGACAAACGCGAGGCCCAAGGCUACAGCUGUCGCUUCCGUAAAAUUGAGAAGUGAAACCUGGUCGUGUGGGGCAGCACCUCCUCGCUCUUCCUCUGACAUCUUCACAAGGAUGUGGCCACUUCCGCUCUGCUUUUCCUGCCUGCUUAGUUUUUGCUCUAUCAGUUGGCCUCUCGCACAGGGGGGAAUCGCCAGCAGCCCUGGGGAAGGAAAGAUGUGGAGGAAACUCGCUUUUCAGGAGGCCCCAGCCAACAUAAACAGGAAAUCUCUAUGUCUGUGCCCAAGGGCGGCGAUGCACAACAGCCCCUUAACCUCUCAGAGCACUUUGCCCAGCUGUCCUGGUAUGAUGCCUUGGCUGGGACAUGGGUGCCGAUAGCCGUCAUCCGUCCAGGGAAAUCAAACCUGCUCCACAGCUUCUUCGCCAGGCACAUCUCUGUGUCCAACAGAUGGUUCACCGUGAUGAACGCCAGCAAAGCCAUUGCAGGGGUUUAUAAGAUUGAAUCUGAGAUGCAGAAAAGCAAGUGUCUGGUUUUCAUCCAUCUGAUUGUAACAGAGCCUGCGCCAACCUCAGCGCCAUCCUCAGCUCCGGCCUCCCAGGUGGCCCUGGUCAGCAUUGGGACUGCAGCUGCGGAGCCCGGAUCUUGGUCCAGCCGUAUUGCGGAGGCGGUGGUGGUGCCGGUCGUGGGGGCAGUGAUGGUGGUGGCGCUGCUGAUAUGGCAGAAAAAGAAUAUUGCUCGCUGCACGCACUGAUUCUGCAGCCAUCAUGACUUCCCUGCCAGAGCCGCCCCGUCCCAGCAGGCCAGCGACUCAGGCCUCAUGCAGGAGAUGCAGGAGCUGGCAGAGUUGACGCAGCCAGAGGAUGCCAGAGGUGGGGAUCGGUCGGCCAUGCUGAAUGGGAAACUUCUCAGCAGCGCUGAAAUGCUAAACGCUGGGGGAGUGGAGAAUGGGGAGGGAUGAACCUCUCCCCAUCCCUCAACAUCCACUCAAUGUGCAGCAACAGUCAAAAAAGCAAACAGAAUGUUGGGUCUCAUUAAGAAAGGGACAGAAAAUAUCAUAGAAUAUCAGGGUUGGAAGAGACCUCAAGAGAUCAUCUAGUCCAACCCCCUGCUCAAAGCAGGACCAAUCCCCAACUAAAACAUCCCAGCCAGGGCUCUGUAAAGCCUGACCUUAAAAACCUCUAAGGAAGGAGAUUCCACCACCUCCCUAGGCAACCCAUUCCAGUGCUUGCAUCUUUAUGUUGCCUCUGUAUAAAUCCAUGGUACUCCCACAUCUUGAAUACUGGGUGCAGAUAUGGUUGUCCCAACUCAAAAAAGAUAUAUUGUGACUGGGAAAGGUACAGAAAGGGGCAAAAAAAUGAUUAGGGGUAUGGAACGGCUUCCAUGUGAGGAGAGAUUAAUCAGACUGGGACUUUUCAGCUUGGAAAAGAGACGGCUAAGCGGGGAUACGAUGGAGGUCUAUAAAAUCAUGACUGGUUUGGAGAAAGUAGAUAAGGAAGUGUCACCAAAUGAAAUUAACAGGCAGCUGGUUAAAACAAAUAAAAGGAAGUGUUUCUUCA
ensembl:lncRNA